rnacentral:rRNA from 1 species
AACGAACGCUGGCGGCGUGGAUUAGGCAUGCAAGUCGUGCGCGAAAGUGGUAGCAAUACUGCGAGUAGAGCGGCGAACUGGUGAGUACAAGGUGACUAACGUGCCCCUGAGUGGGGGAUAACCCAUCGAAAGGUGGGCUAAUACCGCAUUAUCUCCGGAGUGCCUCGGCAUUCUGGAGCAAAGCAGCAAUGCGCUCGGGGAUCGGGUCACCUCCCAUUAGCUAGUUGGUGGAGUAAAAGCCCACCAAGGCUUCGAUGGGUAGCUGGUCUGAGAGGAUGGUCAGCCACACUGGGACUGAGAUACGGCCCAGACUCCUACGGGAGGCAG